rnacentral:lncRNA from 1 species
GAGAGAGAGAGAGAGAGAGAGAGAGAAAGAGAAAGAGAAAGAACACAUGCACUGAAUGUAGCCAGUUUUAGCAAAAUGCUCUGGCAUAUUAAUAGAGUCAGGGGCUAGGUUGCCUGGGUUUGAGUCCUGGCUCAGAAGGAGGUUCCCGAGAUCUGCUCAGAAAACUACUGGAGAGCUUCAUGCACAACUGGGGCUCUAUUUUUAAGUGGCCAUUCUGGAUCAGUUGUGAUGUAAGGAUCAUGGGAGCAGAGAGGCCAGUACAAGGACGCACAGGCACCUGCGCGAGAGGCUGGGAGCAGGCACGGCAAUAACAGGGAUGGUGGAAAGGGAUAGCAGGAACACAGCACAAAUACAUAGGUGCUGUCUUUGGAAAACAAUUUUACCUUGAAACAUGGGAGCUGCUUAUUGGACCAUACCUUCCUGUUGCUCGUGAGUCAGCACGAAACAUCCCUCCAGAGAAGGCCAAGUGGGUCAGAUUUAUCUAAGAAGACAGCUGUGUGGUCCUGGAUCCUUCUCCAGUCUCGUGGCACUGCAGAUACACGCUUCUGGCUUCGUGAAUAACGGUCAGUUACCCACUUUGUAAAGAACCCAACACGGAAGUAGCAGUCUGCCCUGGAAAACCUUUGGUAGGAGAAUAAAUGAGAGCAGACUCAAAUAUGGCCUACGGUAAUAUUCCUCAGUCUUUUAAGUAGUUCUCUUUGAGAGUGUGAUACUUUUUUAAUGUGAGAUUUUAUUAGUAAAAAGGUAAAAUAAUUUAAAAAUCGGUGGAGUUUUGCAUCAUGACUUUUAAAUUAUACCUGUCAAUAUUUGCUUGUUUUCUUAGUAUGGGUUUAAAAUUAAUUAACAUUAAAAUUAACAUUUAAUAUUUACAUAAUAAAUAGUAAAAACUGAAACACCUAGUGUGGGCUGA